CCUGUCCUACGGGGGGCAGCAGUGAGGAAUAUUGGUCAAUGGGCGAGAGCCUGAACCAGCCAAGUCGCGUGAGGGAGUACUGCCCUAUGGGUUGUAAACCUCUUUUGUCGGGGAGCAAAAGCCGGACGUGUCCGGCUGUGAGAGUACCCGAAGAAAAAGCAUCGGCUAACUCCGUGCCAGCAGCCGCGGUAAUACGGAGGAUGCGAGCGUUAUCCGGAUUUAUUGGGUUUAAAGGGUGCGUAGGCGGGCUUUUAAGUCAGCGGUAAAAAUUCGGGGCUCAACCCCGGCCGGCCGUU
rnacentral:rRNA from 1 species